rnacentral:ncRNA from 12 species
UGAAGCAGAGGGCGGAACAGGCGGCCGCCACCCACCAAUUAUCUGGUGUAGGAGAUGUGGAUUGUCACCCACCUACUUCA